rnacentral:rRNA from 1 species
UACGUAGGUGGCGAGCGUUGUCCGGAUUUACUGGGCGUAAAGAGCGCGCAGGCGGUCGUACAAGUCGCGUGUGAAAGCCCCCGGCUCAACUGGGGAGGGUCACGCGAUACUGUUCGACUCGAAGGCAGGAGAGGGAAGCGGAAUUCCCGGUGUAGUGGUGAAAUGCGUAGAUAUCUGGAGGAACACCGGUGGCGAAGGCGGCAUCCUGGACCGGCAUUGACGCUGAGGCGCGAAAGCCAGGGGAGCAAACGGG